GCCUUUUCCUUCUCCAUUGCAGCAGCUGCCUGGCCUGGAGUCUCUAUUGCACUGAGUCUGGAUUCUAGUUAUGCCCUUCCUUGGAUCCAAACAUUGAAGUCAUUCAGCCACCUGCAUUCAGUGAUAAAAUGCAUAUUUGGAAUCUGUUCUGAAAACAAAAGAUGUUCGAAAUCACAAUGGGUCAGGCAGGAUCCAUGAAUCUCUUUCGAAUAGAUCUCCAGCUUUUGAUCAUCCGAGUGAACAAGUCUGUCAGUGCCUCUAUUCUAAGUUUCCCCCAGUACCUCUUCAAAUCACCUUGGAACAUUGUCUGUAUGGAAGGCAUGGAUAACAUUUAAAACUGACGGCUACGGUUACGACGAGCAUUCUGUUCAUUUCGAGAAUGUGAAAUUAUAAAUCCUUUCAAUUUGUACUGCUGGGAUCUUUCCGCCAAGAAUAGGAAAUCCUGUUUCAUUCAUUCAACUCAGGAAUGCCUGCUCAAUUUCCUGUGUAUGACUUGGAAUUGCCUUCCUUUAAAGUGCUGCCACAGAAAUGGAGGGAAGAGACUGGUGACUGAGGACAUGUAGGCGUGGACAAGACACUGACAGCAGGAAGCUUUGGUAACAUUGCAACCUGCGCAAAGACAUAAUUGAUCGAGAAAAAUGGUUUCAAGCACCACACAUGUCUCAUUAAUCUUUAUACAGAAGCCUUCCUCCAAAUAUAACCAGUUCGACGAUGUAGAGAUUCACUUUCAUGUAUGAUGUUACAUCAUGAGGACACAACUUACAUGUGAUAUCUUAUUGAUUUGGAUCUCCUUUAAAUAAAAAGCUGCACACUGA